rnacentral:rRNA from 1 species
GCAUGCCUACAACACAACGUUAAUGCAUCGGAUCCCUAUAGAACUCUGCAGUUAAGCGCACUCAGGCUAUAGUAGAACUAGGAUGGGUGACCACCUAGGAAUUCCUAGUAUUUUACAUGCC